AAUGAACGUUGGCGGCGUGGAUUAGGCAUGCAAGUCGAACGAAUGGCAGCUUUGUAGCAAUACCGAGCUGCCGGAAGUGGCGAAAGGGGCAGUAAUGUAUGGGUAACCUACCCGGGGGUCGUGAAUAGCCAUUCUAACGAGUGGGUAAUGCACGGCGAUUCAACGAGGGGACAUCCUCUUGUUGGGAAAGAAUUUCGCCUCCGGAGGGGCUCAUAUCGUAUUAGCUAGUUGGUGAGGUAACGGCUCACCAAGGCGAAGAUGCGUAGCGGGUGAGAGAGCACGACCCGCGCCACUGGCACUGAGACACUGGCCAGACACCUACGGGUGGCUGCAGUCGAGGAUCUUCGGCAAUGGGCGAAAGCCUGACCGAGCGACGCCGCGUGGAUGAUGAAGGCCUUCGGGUUGUAAAAUCCUGUCGAGGGGGAUCAAGGGCAACUUGAGUGAUCCCUGGAGGAAGCACGGGCUAAGUUCGUGCCAGCAGCCGCGGUAAAAC
rnacentral:rRNA from 1 species